AAAGAAACCAACAGGGAUUGCCUCAGUAACGGCGAGUGAAGCGGCAACAGCUCAAAUUUGAAAUCUGGCCUCUGGCCCGAGUUGUAAUUUGCAGAGGAUGCUUCGGGCGCGGUGCCUUCCAAGUCCCCUGGAACGGGGCGCCGGAGAGGGUGAGAGCCCCGUACGGUUGGCGGCCAAGCCUGUGUGAAGCUCCUUCGACGAGUCGAGUAGUUUGGGAAUGCUGCUCUAAGCGGGAGGUAGACCCCUUCUAAAGCUAAAUACCGGCCAGAGACCGAUAGCGCACAAGUAGAGUGAUCGAAAGAUGAAAAGCACUUUGAAAAGAGGGUUAAACAGCACGUGAAAUUGUUGAAAGGGAAGCGCUUGCGACCAGACGUGCGCCGGGGUGCUCAGCGGGCGUUCUCGCCCGUGCACUCGCCCCGGCGCAGGCCAGCGUCGGUUUGGGUGGGGGGAUAAAGGCGUCUGGAAUGUGGCUCCUCCGGGAGUGUUAUAGCCAGGCGUGCCAUGCCUCCGCCUAGACCGAGGUACGCGUCUGCAAGA
rnacentral:rRNA from 1 species